rnacentral:rRNA from 1 species
AUUGAACGCUGGCGGCAGGCCUAACACAUGCAAGUCGAGCGAGCGGCGGACGGGUGAGUAAUGUAUGGGGACUGCCCGAUAGCGGGGGAUAACUACUGGAAACGGUGGCUAAUACCGCAUACUAUCGGAUAACCCAUAUGGGAUUAGCCAGUAGGUGGGGUAAAGGCUCACCUAGGGAACGAUCUCUAGCGGGUCUGCGAGGGUGAUCAGCCACACUGGACCUGAGACACGGUCCAGACUCCUACGGAGGCAGCAGUGGGGAAUAUUGCGCAAUGGGCGCAAGCCUGAUGCAGCCAUGCCGCGUGUAUGAAGAAGGCCUUAGGGUUGUAAAAUUCUUUCAGCGGGGAGGCGUUACCCGCAGAGAAAGCACCGGCUAACUCCGUGCCAGCAGCCGCGGUAAUAC